AAUGAACGCUGGCGGCAUGCCUAACACAUGCAAGUCGAACGAAGGCUUCGGCCUUAGUGGCGCACGGGUGCGUAACGCGUGGGAAUCUGCCCUUGGGUUCGGAAUAACAGUUAGAAAUGACUGCUAAUACCGGAUACGUGCGAGAGCAGAAAGAUUUAUCGCUGAAGGAUCGGCCCGCGUCUGAUUAGCUAGUUGGUGAGGUAAUGGCUCACCAAGGCGACGAUCAGUAGCUGGUCUGAGAGGAUGAUCAGCCACAUUGGGACUGAGACACGGCCCAAACUCCUACGGGAGGCAGCAGUGGGGAAUAUUGGACAAUGGGCGAAAGCCUGAUCCAGCCAUGCCGCGUGAGUGAUGAAGGCCCUAGGGUUGUAAAGCUCUUUCACCGGUGAAGAUAAUGACGGUAACCGGAGAAGAAGCCCCGGCUAACUUCGUGCCAGCAGCCGCCGUAA
rnacentral:rRNA from 1 species